CAUUGAAAAUCAUGAAGCCAGGUAGGCUGGCUGCUUAACUCACUGACACUGAGGUAAGCAGCCAGCCUGCCUGGCUUCAUGAUUUUCAAUGA